UGGUUAUCGGGAAUUACUGGGCGUAAAGCGUGCGUAGGUGGUCGUUUAAGUCCGAUGUGAAAGCCCUGGGCUCAACCUGGGAACUGCAUUGGAUACUGGGCGACUAGAAUGUGGUAGAGGGUAGCGGAAUUCCUGGGGUAGCAGUGAAAUGCGUAGAGAUCAGGAGGAACAUCCAUGGCGAAGGCAGCUACCUGGACCAACAUUGACACUGAGGCACGAAAGCGUGGGGAGCAAACAGGAUUAGAUACCCUGGUAGUCCACGCCCUAAACGAUGCGAACUGGAUGUUGGGUGCAAUUUGGCACGCAGUAUCGAAGCUAACGCGUUAAGUUCGCCGCCUGGGGAGUACGGUCGCAAGACUGAAACUCAAAGGAUUUGACGGGGGCCCGCACAAGCGGUGGAGUAUGUGGUUUAAUU
rnacentral:rRNA from 1 species